rnacentral:tRNA from 1 species
GCCUAGUUAGCUUAGUUGGUAGUGCGUCUGCCUUAUAAGCGCUAGGCCGCGGGUUCGAUUCCCGCCCGCGGCG